rnacentral:tRNA from 2 species
GACCAUGUGGCCUAAUGGACAAGGCGUCUGACUUCGGAUCAGAAGAUUGAGGGUUCAAGUCCCUUCAUGAUUG